rfam:Stegodyphus mimosarum contig60994, whole genome shotgun sequence.
GCCUUCGUGGUGUAGUGGUCAGCACGCUCGACGCGUAUUCGAGAGGUCCGUGGUUCGAGUCCCGGCAAGGGUA